UCUCUAGCUGUUUGCUGCAUUUUAUUACAGUAGUUACAGCCAAAUAUAUGCUACAGUAGCUUCACAACCGAUUAAAUGCACAUCGGAAGCAAAACCUUAUUAUAAAUACAUUUGUUAACCUUUAAAGUCAAUCCGUUGAGGCUUUUUUUUUUUUUUAAAGUAAGUCAAGUUAUAAACCGUUUCUCAUUUGCUGCUAAGCUGCACAGUCACAGAAAGGAUACAACAUCAGCAUCUGUCUGAGGUCCACAAAGAGGAAAUGACUGACAUCUGCAAAGGUCAGAAGGGUGGCACUUCCUUCAUAAGGAUGGCCUUUACUCAACUGUCCAGGCUCUAUUACUCAAAGGAGCUGGGAAGUGCAAAUGUGGAAACUUUGCUGUCACCGUGGGCACCGGUGCCACAUUAAUCUCUUCUGCAUUUGGGAGGAAGCACCCUUCAGAUAUCCUGAUGACUUGACGGCUCGAGUGCCAUGAUGGAGGGAGGGGGUUCCAGCUGAAGGCUGUUGCUGUCUCUUGGGUCAACAUGGCCAUCCUUGCAAAGAUGCUGGUGUUUGUCCAGGUGGAAAAUUUGCUGUCACAGUGGGCACCGGUGCCACAUUAAUCUCUUCUGCAUUUGGGAGGAAGCACCCUUCCUGAAAACAUCAUGGUGACUUGACAGCUUGAGUGCCAUGAUGGAGGGAGGGGGUUCCAGCAGAAGGCUGUUGCUGUCUCUUGGGUCAACAUGUCCAUCCUUGCAAAGAUGCUGGUGUUUGUCCCGCAGGGGCUGCCUCUCAGGUCGUGAUGUGGACACGGUGUCUCGACAAGGUUCCUGGUUCUGAGAGUGGUGGUUGAAGCUUCUCUGGACAUUUGGACUGAGCUGCAAAUGAGUUGCCGGUUCUGAGUGGGGAUUGAAACUUCUGUGGAAACCUGGACUGUGAUACAGGAACCGAUGCAUCACUUGGCUUCGCUGGGCUGUUGGAACGGCGAUGUUGGGAUUGGGCUUCUGGUAAUGAUGACCACGUCAAUCAGAAGAUGUAUUUCUCAGCUGGUGUUUCACCUUCUGUGGACCCAGUCUGACACUUAGCACCUCAUGCGAGGGGAACAGCUGUGUGCUGAUGGAGCAGGAAGUCUUGCCAAGUGUCGGAACUGUUUAUCAUCUUUUUGUGUAUAUCCAAAAAUAUAUAUAUUUUUUUUUUUUUGGGACAAGAGAAUCACCAUGUUUUGGCCUUUUAAAGG